GGCUUGUCUUGUGGGGAACAUAGCUCUGGCGCGGCAUUUCCUGUCGCAGCAGAGUGCAAACCGUGCUGUUUUAGGCGCCUGUCUGCGGUGGAUGCUCCACCUGCCGCGGACUCUUCCUGAGCUUUAGGUUCUCCGGAGGGUCCUGUUACUUACAGGCGACCUCGUCAGUGAUUUUACUCCAUCCCGGAGCCGUUCGCGGCAGGGGGCGCGGGCGCGCGGGAAGAGGAUGCACGUUGACAUCCUCCAGCCGCCCGUGGGGACUGCAAGGACAAGGUUCUAUUCCCCAUACUGGGCAGGAGUUGAUGCGUGAAGUGAGUUCUGAUUCCUUGUGUGAUUUAAGAUACCUGACUUUCAGCCUGCUUCUCCAGAAGACUCCUAAGUAUAAUUGAAGGCCACUUGCAUUGUUGAUUGGUUUUCUCCACUUGUCCAUCAUUAUAAGAACAUUGGGAACUCCUUUGGUUCAUAGCACUUUUAAAAGAAAAUCUAAAGAGAAAUUAACUCAUAUUCAUAACAUUUCAGUUGGAUAUGUCAAGUGAUCAGGUAACUGCCAAUCUGCAAGCAGUUAUUAAUGAUGUUUGUAGGCACAGACCACUGAAUUCGGUUGAUGGUUCACAUCUCCCUGAUAACCAGUGAAGGUUUCCCGACUGUCAGCCCCUGUUCUCAGGAGCAGAGACUGCAACGUGUCACAGCUUUGCAUUGCCUGGGUAAGUAAUACAAACCCCAGGUCUUCUCAGAAAUAUGGGAUUGUGUGUGUUUUUUCAACAUUCAGUUGUUUGUUCAUUCAUCUUCAUAGAGUUGUAAACACAACUGUGAAAUGUUCUCAUUUCAAGAAACUGACUGUACACACAGGUAAAUGCAUUUGUGUGAGUGUAAAUGUGUGUGUUUGUGAGUGCGUGUGUUUGUGAGUGCAUGUGUUUGCAUGUGCUUGUGACAAUCAGGUUAUUCUUCUCUAUCAAGCAAUAAAAUUGGAAAUUACACAUGAAGAAUGUAAAAAUAAUACCAAUUACAAUAAUGGCAAAUGCUUUGCCAUAAAGUCUAUUACAUUUGAUAGUUACAUCACUAUGGUAAGUGAUUCAUUGUUAAUUUGUCUUUAAAUUGUCCAACUGAAUAUAGCCAAAGUAUGUUGUCUUUAAUAGGAAUGAUUAGUUAGUUUUUGUUAAAUAUAAUAAUGGGUAUAUUGUGCAGUGUAUUCUUCAUGAUAACCUGCUCUAUUUUCCUAUUUUUUCAUCAUUUCUUAGUUUUAAACCUAGAAAUUAAAGCUUUCUUUUAAACACCAAUCAUGGUGUCAGGUGACAAUACCUAUGCCCUAUGAACAAUAUGGCAUUAAUCUAUGUACCUUUCUUCAACUUUAAAAAAAUUCUCAUGUGUUUAAAAUAUUUAAAGGUACAUACACAGGUCAUGAGUGGAAAGCACAAUGAAAUAUUAAAACAUCUCUGGCAUAAUUGUGUAUGAGGCUUUUUAGAUUUUUUUUUUAAGGACAUCUUAGCCCACAGAGAUAUUCUUAUGAUCACCGCCAGCCACUACACUCAGCGUGAGCACUACACUGACAUCUAAUGGCAGAGGUCACUUUGACCUCUUUUUUUUUUUUUUUUUUG